GUCCUGCAUGGGCUCUUUGUCGAAUGAGUUUGCAUUCCUCAAUCCAAUCUUUAAACUUCCGACAUCUAGAAUAACUCGCUGGAGCACCCCUCCAUUCACCUUUCGUUCCCAUAUGCAUCGGCUUUUUCUAAAUCGACAUAUCUAGGUUCUCCCAACCCAACAGGUUCCCUUUCUUUCGAAAUGGCAUUGCCAAAAGUCGAAUCAAAGGCUUGACAGGAGAGCUUCUCUUAGCCCUAUAGUCUUUCUCCG
rnacentral:lncRNA from 1 species